rnacentral:tRNA from 1 species
GCCUGGCUAGCUCAAUCGGUAGAGCGUGAGACUCUUAAUCUCAAGGUUGUGGGUUCGACCCCCACGUUGGGCU